UAAGUAAACAUUGGAAUUAAAUAUUCAAAUUGAAAUUUCUGACACAAAUUUUUAUUUCCUUAUUGUGUUACGGUAAAAUUCGUUUACAAUGCGUGGUGUAAGUGAAGAAAUUAAAAGAAAAGUUGAAAGAUAUUUCUCUGCUGGGCACUCUGCCAGCGAUAUUGGCAAGGAGCUCAAAAUCAGCCAUACAAUGGUUUUGCGGAUAGAAAAGAAAGCAACCUGGAAAGGCUAACAUGCAAUAAGGGUGGGAGACCCAAAAAAAUUCAAAUUCGUGAAGCUAGACAUGUUGGACGACUUCUUAUAUCCAAUAAAUUGACUACUCCAAAGCAAGGACUACCGCUUUUAACGCAAAAUGUUAGUGUCUGGACAUUGCGUCGCGCGUUGAAAGAUGCUGGUUACAAAGCAAAAGAGAAAAAGAAGAGACCCGCUUUAAUAAAAAACAUGUUUCUGCCCGAAAGGAUUUCCUGCACGCCACGAAUACUGGACGUGUGAUGACUGGAAACGAGUUAUUUGCUCUUGGUACUGGUCAAACACCUCAGGACCACUUCAACCCCAUCAAGUAAAGCAAACUAUAAAGUUUGGAGGAGGAUGUUUAAUGAUUCGGGGGCGUAUUACGCAGUAUGGAGUUGGUCCUAUUGUGAAAAUCGAUGGAAAGAUGAAAAAGAAACAAUAUUUGGACAUUUUAAAAACAAAUUUGCCGAUUGCUAUGGAUAUGGACAAUGAUCCUAAGCACUCUUCGAAAUUAGUGCAAAAUUGGUUGAAAUCGCAAAGUUUUUCAACAAUGAGGUGGCUUGCGCAAAGCCCAGAUAUGAACCCCAUAGAGAACUUAUGGAGUUUUUUGAAACGGCAACUGGCAAAUUACCCGAAUCCUCCAAAAGGCAUGCAGGAGCUUUGGGAGCGCGUCGAGGACGAGUGGUACUCAAUUUCUCCAGAUUUCUUAGAAAAAUUGUAUGAGAGCAUGCCGCGAAGACUGAAUGCGUUAAAAAAGUUGAAAGGAUUGUGGACGGACUACUAAACUAAAGGAGAAAAUAAAAUUUUUUGUAAGGGUGCAAAAGUGGAACAAUGGAGUUUUGCCACAUUUUUGUUAUUUUUUUUUUUGUUUCGCGAGUGAAUUUGUCACAUUUUUUAUAGUUAUAGUGUAUUUUAAACCUGUAUAAAAUUAAUAUAUUAACAUUUUUUUUACAAAAAGAUAUUAUGUAUGCUUGCAAUUUAUUGCAUCAAAGUUCAUUUAUGUAAUUAUUGUUCCAGUUUUGCUCUUCAGUGUAUAUACAGAUGUAUUUGAUACAAACUCAACCAAAGAAGUUAAAUUUAAUAUUUUAUACUAUAUGAUUUUCAUCCAGUUUCACACUAUCGGAGAGGGUAACGAAAAGGUUUCCUUAUUUGUUUUCAUUAUAUUGCUUUCAUUAUAAACAAAUUAGAAAAACGUAUUUAUUGUAAACAAAAACAUGUUUUUAUUUAAACUUAUUUGAUUUGAAUCACAUUAUGUAAUUAUUUUGUUACAAGUCUUUGAACAUAAUAUUUAAACACCAACAUUUGCAUACAAUAUGUAAACAGUACAAAAAGUCAUAAUCAGAUAUUCUAUAAAAUACAUACUUAUAUAUUAUAUUUUCAAAUA